rnacentral:snoRNA from 1 species
GUGGCACCCAACCCAAGAACUGCCGCUGCCUGUAUAGCGGCUGUUUAAAUAGUGGUGCACACAGCAAAGGGGCUUCUUCACCUUUGGGGGGCUGUGCAGUGCCCCCCAGAAUGAAUCAGUAGGUUCUACAGUC